rnacentral:rRNA from 1 species
UACGUAGGAGGCAAGCGUUGUCCGGAAUUACUGGGUGUAAAGCGCGUGUAGGCGGCAGGCCAAGUCUGUGGUGAAAUCGCUCGGCUCAACUGGGCGGGGUCCAUGGAAACUGGUCAGCUGGAGGACGGUAGAGGUGAGUGGAAUUCCCGGUGUAGUGGUGAAAUGCGUAGAGAUCGGGAGGAACACCCGUGGCGAAGGCGGCUCACUGGGCCGGUCCUGACGCUGAGGAGCGAAAGCGUGGGGAGCGAACAGG